rnacentral:lncRNA from 1 species
GGGCGAAUGGCGCGUCUGAGGUGUCCACUCGGUGCGUGGCGUCUUGUGGACGACGUCGAGGCUGGCAGGGGGGUCAUCGACGGCGUACGGCCGACACCUGGCCGGACACGCGGCAGCGAACGGCGACUGUCCAAACUGAAACGUUUUCUGAAUCGCCCGAUCCCGACGACUGAAACUGCAACUUCGUCGAUGUUUUACUCUCAGCUCACUCCGUGGUUUUGGCUCAAAGUUGAUCCUUUGGAUAGAGCUACACGAGAUCUACAGGUUUGCUUACAAGAUCAAAGUCUAAUUCGGCCU